rnacentral:rRNA from 1 species
CCUACGGGUGGCAGCAGUGAGGAAUAUUGGUCAAUGGACGAGAGUCUGAACCAGCCAAGUAGCGUGAAGGAUGACUGCCCUAUGGGUUGUAAACUUCUUUUAUAUGGGAAUAAAAUGUUCCACGUGUGGGAUUUUGUAUGUACCAUAUGAAUAAGGAUCGGCUAACUCCGUGCCAGCAGCCGCGGUAAUACGGAGGAUCCGAGCGUUAUCCGGAUUUAUUGGGUUUAAAGGGAGCGUAGGUGGAUUGUUAAGUCAGUUGUGAAAGUUUGCGGCUCAACCGUAAAAUGGCAGUUGAAACUGGCAGUCUUGAGUACAGUAGAGGUGGGCGGAAUUCGUGGUGUAGCGGUGAAAUGCUUAGAUAUCACGAAGAACUCCGAUUGCGAAGGCAGUUCACUGGACUGCAACUGACACUGAGGCUCGAAAGUGUGGGUAUCAAACAGGAUUAGAUACCCUUGUAGUC